rnacentral:tRNA from 1 species
UCCCUGGAGGACUAGUGGUUAGGCCUCGGUGCUCUCACCACCACAGCCGGGGUUCGUUUCCCGGCCAGGGAA